AUUUCCUUUACUUUAUAGAUGUAUUCUAUACCUGCUAUGUAGAUAAUGCUCUAGUUUUCCCUUUAGUGCCAACUGGAAAAGGAGAGUUGGCUUUACAGGGGCUGUGGAUUAAGAGCCAGGCUUCAUUCCAUCCCAGGGAGACAAAAAGAGACAGAAGAAGUUACCUCCAGCAGCACCCCAGAAAGCUGACAGAUAUUCCCUGUAUGCAGGUAGUAAACAGAUGGGAGUCUGUGUUUGCAGCUAUGUUCAGUGUAAUUCAGCAGACCUUCACUGGGCACUUGUGAUGGGUCAGGCCCUGUGCCAGCAACAGGGGAAGGGAGGAUGAACAAGGCAUGUUUCCCUGACCAUGAGGAGCUCUUGGCCUGUGAGCUGUUGGGAUGUCCCUUUGUGGUGUUGGAAGCUGUGCACGAGCAGUCAGGACUUUGGGGACAGAAGUUUAGUGUUAGGGAGGCAGGGUAACUUGCUUUGACAGCUACCCACCCUAAGUCAGAUGACAGGUGUAAUUCUAGGGGCCCUGAUAUGCAUCACUGAGGCAGACUGAGGAGCUCUCCAGGGAAGUAGGCAAUAUUUCCCUGAAUAUUCCUCAAUUCCAAUCAAGGCUGACUCAGUUCACUUAUGGAUGAAAGCCAGUUACCCUGCCCACUGGGCAGAAAUAACAUGGUUGACAGCUGACAUUCAGAGAAAAUAAGACAGAAGCAGUCCUUAAAUAUAAACAGCAGCCAGGUGGACCUGGAAAUUUAGGAAGGGUGAUGCAGGUAGAGGGGCCAGCAGGAGCCAAGUCUCAAAAGGCACAAGCCAGACUGAUGCAAGGGAGCCCUCCUGAGGCCCAACAUCAGAGCUGAAGAUCUAAGGAGGGCCCACCUCCACGAGACCUGCUGAGGGCUUACAUUUGGUGCUGAGGAGCAGUGGUUCCCUGGGCCAGCUGCAUCACCUGGGAACAUGUGAGAAGUGCAUAUUCUUGGGCCCCACCCCAGACCUACUGAAUGAGAAGCUCUGGAGGCAGGCAGUCUGUGAUUUAAUGAGCUUUCUGACACACACUAAAGUUUGAGAACCACUGAUGCAGAGGAUGAGGAGAUGACUUGAGCUGGCAUCGGGAAGAACUGACUAUUAACUAACAAGGUAAAAUCAAUGACUAGUGCAGUGAGGGUGCCAAAGCAAACCACCCCCAGCCCCCAUCCUGGGCCUUUUUGGCUCCAGUUUAUACUCACUGAAGCAGUGGUUUCAAGGAACCUUGGUCCUAGUCCGCAUCCUUCACCUGCCCUUGGGCAUGAGACAAUUCCUGCCUGCCUGCCCCUUCUAUCCUAGAGAGAGAGACUGCCCAGGAGAGGCUGCCAUGAGGUCACUCAUCCCCAGGAAGGCCACCUGCCAGGUUUCUGUAAGCUGAGCAGCCUCUUCGAGGGCCAUAUUUUGUGGAGAAACACUGAAACUGCAGCAGUGACCCUGGUCACUAGGAGAGCUGCUUUCUACACAGCCUGUAUGCUGGUGGAGACACCCAGGGCCUGGCAGAGUGUGGAGGGGGUCAUUUAAGGACGUUGCCAGGUUGCCGCAGCACUGCUCUGUUUGUUUGUAAUGAGACUGGGGCAUGCAGCAUCACAAUUCAAACACUGAAUUGCUUGGGGAAUGGAUGGCCUUCCUUGGAAGGGCAGUAACUCAUUCUGGAUGUUACUAAAAGUAGAAAACAAAAAUCCAAAAACAAACCUACAGCCUCAUUUACAAUUAGAAUCUGUCUGGGCCUUCUGAUUUCUAAAGUCUGUGAGGCUGCCAGGAUUCACCAAUUCUCCUUUCCCCUGAGGCCCAGCAACUAUUGAUUUAUAGCUUAAACUCUGUGAAGGUCCACAGACCUUUGAAAGGAACUUGCUGGUACUUUGUCAGUCGUGUACACCUAACUGACUCCUCCUACGAGGUACAGUCUCCUCAUACAAGGGGUUUUGAGAUGGAGAGUCAGAGGGCCAGGGCCCUGGGCUUUGGGGUGGAAGGACAGAAGAGUAGCAGUCUAGGAAAGGGACUAGACAUGUAGCCUAGGAAAACUAGCACCAUCUGUUGAGUUCUGAAGAACCCAGAUUCUCUCCUGCUCACAGCCUCAGCAGUCUUUUCAGAGUCCUCCUGAAUGGCCCAAAGACACCCCUGUUUCUGGGGAACAGAAGGGAGCUGGUACCUCUGGACCAUUGAGGCAACACCUCCCCAGAGGCAGGACCCCGCCCCCAUGAGAACAUGCAGUUGAAUGAUGUGGUGCCUGGCCAGGACCUUGGAAAACGUGGCCAUGUGAGACUAGUAUAGAUCUCCAACUAUUGCUGCCUCUGCUGAUAUGGCCACCUCCUUAAGGUAAGAAGACUACCGACUUAGCUAUUGUGGCACCACGGGAGCCUAGCACUGCACCUGGCCCAUGACAUGUGUGCCACAAAUGUUGAAUUGAAUUGAAUCCCAGAGAUCACUUGACCUCAGUGAAGGGACUGGGUUUGAAGAAUUAAGACCCCCCAGUGGAGAAAGCCUCCUCCAACUUCCUUCUCGGUUUGUGAGUCAAGGUCCUUUGUAAAAUCAGAUCGACGAGGGUGGAAGUGCAGUGAACAGAGGACAACAUUUGUGAUGCACGUGGGAGAAAACAGGAGUGGGGUUGUUUGGGGACUACCCCUUCCUAGCUAUAGUCAGUAAAUGGAGCCCCUAAGCAAGGAGCAGGGGUAGAUGUGCCUGGGUGAGGCCUGCUUGCUCCACCGUCGAGGUCAUGGGCAGCAUCCCAACUGAGGAGAGAAAACCCUAAUUUGUUAAUGACCCAGCCUUGUGCUGCUCUCCAGUUCCUUUCAUCAGAUUUACUGCAGAGCAGAUUCAUCAACAUGAAGUUCAAUUCCCAGUAGACUAAUGAAAAGAGGGCAACAGACUUGAGAAGAGCCAAAAUGCAGACAGUGUGUAUUAAUCACAGACAACAGAAACGUGUUAGCUUUAAUGUCUGUUUGCUUUUAUCUUGAAAUGAAAAUGCAUCUCUGUUACCUGGACCCUUUUUACUGCACAUUUCAGAACAGAAAUGGGACACCCACACACGUAUUGAGGGUCCUUUUCCCCGGCAGGAGGAGCUACCAGAGAAAUGAGCCCACAUUUUGUGUGCAGAGAGAAUCAACCCACAGGUCUCAGCUGCAGACUCCAGCACCUCUGCAGAGAAGGCAGGCAAAGGGAUGAGGAGGUAGCAUCUCCUCUUCAGAAGGAUUCAUAAGGGCCUCUGUGAGGAGGGCCUUGCUUGUGCCUGUGGGUCAUGGAUGUUAAUAUAAAGGCUCAUCCACCCUUGGUGGCAAAAGUGCAUCCAUCCUGGCCAAUAUAGAACACUCACAUCUGGAGCCCACGCCCACCCACCUCCAGCUCCUCUACAUGGCUGCAAGAGCAUGGCUGAUGUGUGGGAUUCAGAAGAGGUCUGCUCAUGUUCACUAGCCAAACUUUAGGUGGUGUGAUACAGCAAAAAGCUUUUUUUGUUUUUCUGUUUUUGUUUUGUUUUUGGCGUGGAGGAGAAAUUUAGACUUGAAAGUCAGGGCUGAUCACUCAAAAAGUAAGAUAGGAGAUAUUGAGGGAAAAUGUGACUCAUAGUUGGAGAGGAAACAGGAGAGUGGGUACAAGUGACAGCACCAGGAACAACCCCCUCCCCCAGAUGCCAAAGCAUUGCUCUGUAUCUAAAGAUGCAUCCAAGUUUGCAAAAAAUUAUGGGUAAAUCUGGCCAUGUGACCAAAGAGGCAGUCAAAUCAAUUGCUUCCAAAGUCAGAGCUGUUUGAAGGUGAUCAGCUCUUAAUUGAACUAGUCAUGAUGAAUCAAUCCAACUGACUGCAUCCAGUCUGACCUCGGUGGUUUCCAUAAAGGGUUGUUGAUGUCCUGAGCUGGACAGGGUGGGCAGGAGGUUGAAGAAAACCAGUUGGUGAGUAUAGAAAAGAAAUUGCAUGUAGAAGUUGUUUGUUCUCAAAGAAAUCUGUAGGUGUUAGAGCUGGGUUUGUUAUGUUAUUGUCAGGGACAUUAUAAUAUUGGUAAGGAGGAGAGAAUGAUUUGGUAGGGGUAUUCGAGAAAUUUGAGUACAAAAUAUAAAUUAUCAGAGAUGAGUAGGCUAUGGACAGCUGAUUAUAUAUAUGUGUGUGUGUGUAUAUGUGUGCAUAUAUGUGUACAUAUACACAUACCCCAAAGCCAUAUACAUAUCUAUAAUACAGAAGUAAGAAUAAAGUCAUAAGUACCAGCAUAUUUUAAAUCCUUAGAAGCACUGGUUGGGAUGUUACAUGUUUUUUCACUGUUGUUGUUUACCGUUAGCUCUCAAAGCAGUGGGAAUAGUGCUUGGCACAUAGUAGGAGUUUGGUAAACAUUUGGAAAUUGAAGACCCAGCUUAUCACUCCUUCAUAGAGACUCAGUAGUAUGAGUAUACCCCAAAUUGAAUGAGCCACAGAGAAAUGCAUCCAGCCACACUCCCUCUUAGCUGAGGAGAAGCCUCUGUGAAUCCACAGAUUCCAUGCAAUAUUCAGCCAGCCGCAGACACAAGGUCUGGCUCCCUUGUCGUGAGAGUGAAGGCAUGCUGCACACAGUGGGUUUGCAUGCACCUAGACUGCAUCUGCUGAACACCCAACAGCUGUUUCUACAAGCUAAAGUUGUAGCUUCUCUCUACCACUGUCUAAAGCUGUAGCUUGUCUCUACUAUUGUCUCUACACCGUUGCCCAAACACUUGGUAUAAUGCUAUUGAAUUUUUCACCUCCAGGCAUGAUUUUGUAACCAAUGUAAAGGUUCUGGGUUCAGCCAGUCUAAAAAGUCUAAUAAUUUCUUCUCUCAGUCCUUCCCUUCUCCCUUGUCUGGAGCUGCCACCGCCAUUUAAAAGUGUUGGACGCUGUUUAUUCCCAGCUUCUCAACCUCAGUGUGUGUGGGAAAGGCCUGAAAGAGAGAGGUAUGUUUUCUCUCCUCCAGAGUCUCUGUGGUGUUGACACAGCAGAGAGAGGAGGGGGAGCAGCCUCGUCUUGCAGAAUCACCUUCAAUCACUGCUACUGUCUGGGCCAUUACUGCCAGUCUGGCCGGUGUCUCCCACAGUGGAUGGCUUUGCCUCCAGCGGUGGACCAGUGUGUACCUGACAUGUAUCAGACUUCUGAGCUCUUCAAGCUGCCUCAAAGAAUGAAUCUUUUUAGUCUAGAAAAUGUGUUUAUUUGAUAAAUAUACUAUUGUGUAUGAGUGUGAAACAAUGCAGACUUUGGAGUAUCUCAUUAGAAGGACUGUAUGAAUUUAUAGAAAAUUGAAUCUAAUUUCAGAAGAGCGCACUGUCUUCUCAGUCAACAAGGUUGCCCAGCCACAGAGGGUCAGAGAAAAUGUCCUUUCCCCUCCCCACUCCUUUUCAUAGAAUCCUCUCUCAGGCCUAACUGAGCUGUCAUAUCCAAUUCAGACUGACACAGAGUGAGGGGCGCUGAGAGUCUCUAUGUAUAUAAAGAUAUAGGAAGAAAAUAAGGAUCAUCACAGGAAUCUGUUGGGCUUCUCCCCAUGACUGUGAUCUUACCCAUGUUUGAAUCACAAACUUUAAAUUUAUAAUAAUUAUGAUUCUUGCAGUUUUCAAGUAAUUUGUUAAAUGCCUAUUCAACACAGACAGAUUUUUAUUUUCAGCUGUGGCUUGUAAAUGCCUACAAACUGAUUCAUGUUGGUGGUCGUUAUGACACUUUCUGUGAAUUGGUGAAUAAAUAUGAUUUUAGAAUUUCACAGUAAA
rnacentral:lncRNA from 10 species